UACGGAGGGCGCAAGCGUUGUUCGGAAUUACUGGGCGUAAAGCGCGUGUAGGCGGCCAGGCAAGUCGGAUGUGAAAGCCCGGGGCCCAACCCCGGAACUGCACCCGAUACUGCCCGGCUGGAGUCCCGGAGAGGAUGGCGGAAUUUCCGGUGUAGAGGUGAAAUUCGUAGAUAUCGGAAGGAACACCAGUGGCGAAGGCGGCCAUCUGGACGGUGACUGACGCUGAGACGCGAAAGCGUGGGGAGCAAACAGG
rnacentral:rRNA from 1 species